AUGGAAGGCAGGGGGCUGAGGGUGGGGACGAGACUGACAGGGAAACUCGGAGGGGUGUGCCACAGGCCUCUCGUGCCCAGCCUUUUCAUCAGCGCCUCCGACUGGCACCCUCAUCCACAUGGCAGAGGAAGGGACAGCAACGUACACACUAAGAAUCCCAAACAGUCUCUCCUUUUCUCUGUCUCUCUCCCUUUCUCUCUCUUCUUCUCUGUCUCUACUUUUCCCUGGCUUUCUCCCUUUCUCUCUCUUUCUUCUUCUCUCUCUCUCCUUUUCUCUGUCUCUCUCCCUUUGUUUCUUUCUUCUCUAUUUCUCCUUUUCUCUCUGUCUCUCUCCCUUUCUCUCUUCUUCUCUGUCUCUCCUUUUCUCUGUCUCUCUCCCUUUCUUCUCUGUCUCUCUCCCUUUGUUUCUUUCUUCUCUAUUUCUCCUUUUCUCUCUGUCUCUCUCCCUUUCUCUCUUCUUCUCUCUCUCUCCUUUUCUCUCUGUCUCGCUCCCUUUGUUUCUCUUUCUUCUUCUCUGUCUCUUUUCUAUUCUCUCUGUCUUUGUCUCUGUUUCUGUCUCUCUUUUAACUCUUGGAAUUGAUAAGGUGUAUCUGUUUCAAGGCAAAAGGAUGUCAGAGGCCAAAUUUGAACCCAGGCCCUCCCAUCUCUAGACCGAGGUUCUCUAUCCACUGAGCCACUUAGCCUUCUCUUC
rnacentral:lncRNA from 1 species